GACAGAAAAGAUGAAUGAAUAGGUAGGUAAUGAUUUUUGUUAGGUACCUACUUACCUAGUCGUUUUGUUUCGUCGUUUACUUACUAUUUACUUCUGUUUCUACGUGAUCGUUGUUUUCUUUAUAAAAAGAAAAUAGAUUUACAUCCUAAACCUAGAGCUGAUACUGCGUAUUAAUAAAAUCGUGUAGCUUCUUUACAUACAGCGUUGUAUUACAUAAACGCUAGCACAGAUCGAAACCCGAUUAUUUGUAUAUCGACAAAGCCAAAAAACUUUAAAAACUUAUCUGAAUGUCUCAAUUUGCGGCAGAUGUUCCAGAGGUACUGGUCAAACCAGGCAAGAUGCUUAACUACUGGUCUACGAAGAUGAAAGUUGGGGCUGUCCUGCUGGCCUUGGCACUUUAUAUUUACUUACUUAUGUGCAUCAAAAAUAUUUACUUGAAAAGUCAGAAGUUAGAGAAUAUUAAGGCUAUGGUGGGAGAGACGGGGAAGAUAAUGCACAACUUACACAUGGUGGAUGCUAACCUUGCCCUGAAUAUAAAGCAGCUGGAAGCCAUGUAUGAUGCGGCGUGAGUUUGACUUGUGAUACCUUGUGCCAGAUAUUAGGUGCUGAAUCUCUUACUUGUCUCAUUUUGGUGGUUCUUUUUAUGGUAUUUAUCUGAUAAGCCAUUAAGUAUUAUUAUUGAAUUAAGUUAUAACAUGUAUUUUAUGUUAAAUAUACUUUUUGUGAAUUUAAAAAUCCGAACUCAGUCCCGCUGAAGAAGCUUUAACAUUCUAUUUGUAUUUAAUUGAAGUUUGUAUUAAUACUUUGUGAUACUAUUUAUUUUCUUGUUAACAUCUGAAAGAUUUUAUUAUUAAUUAGUAAUUAAACAUAUAGGAUACUUAGCCAUGAUACUUAGCAUGUCAAUUUGGUGAAUCAGCUUAGUUAAGAACCACAAUAAGGAGAUUGAAUAGACUACUAUUCCUUGUUCUUAAUAUAAUUUAUUGCAGAAGAGGA